UUACGGCUAUAUCACAAUGAAACAUCAAUUCUCGUACGAUCACCGAAAUUAAGCAACGUCGAGCCUGCUCAGUAUCUGGAUGGGUGACCGCUUGGGAAUGCCAGAU